AAGUCGUAACAAGGUUUCCGUAGGUGAACCUGCGGAAGGAUCAUUAACACUUUACAUCCACGUGCCUAAACAUCCGUUUACGGCAUAACACCCCCUUUUAAGCGAACUAAGUCGGGUGGAAUUCGUUCCAUUCCGUCAUUUUUUUUCUCUUUGUUUUUCUUAUUCAAUUUUUAAACCCAAUUGAACUUUCUAGACUGAAACUUUGUUGCACUAGGAGAAAUCCUUGUUGCAUCGAAAAAAACAAAACGCUAUACAACUCUUAACAACGGAUAUCUUGGUUCUC
rnacentral:misc_RNA from 1 species